rnacentral:tRNA from 1 species
GCCGGGAUGGCGGAAUUGGUAGACGCGCCGGACUCAAAAUCCGGUUCUGGCAACAGAGUGAGAGUUCAAGUCUCUCUCCCGGCA